CCAGUUGAAGAGCAUAUUGGCC
rnacentral:miRNA from 1 species